GAAAAGGGUAUGUCAUUCACUUGUUAUAUAUUCAUCUCUAAACUGUUGAGAUCAACCAUGUAGAUAGAUUGUAACACAUAAGAGAUUUUAGUUUACUAAAUGUAUCACCAAACAAAUUGAGAAAUAUAACACUUUCUAUCAAUUUUAUUCUACUGUUGACCAUAAUGAACUCAAAACAAGAUAAAGCAAUACUACAUGAUACCCUAUAGAAGAAGAAGUAUGAUAAGCCAAUAUAGGUACAGGCACAGUUUAAAUAAUUUAAUAAAGAAUGGAUUACUCUCAAAUGCAUAUUCUACAACUUCGGAACAUGAAUAUGGUGCACUUGAGCAGUAAUGGAGGGGCACGCGAGAGGAAUGCGAUGUUUAUUCUGUCGUUUACAGAUCCCUGUAUAUGAAUAAUUCUAUAAUUUGUUCAUCCACUGGCAUUAAGUGAACAGGACUAAAUGGUUUAGCUAGGCAUUGGCUUGUUCUCCAAAAAUGACCCGAAAAGAAUAAAUGCUUGGCGAGGGCGAUGGAGUGGAACCUCAUGCCCUGCUCCAGUUACUGUUACAAAAGUUAACCCUUUGUAAAUUUGGCUCCACCCGCCAACCCUUCCAUUAUCAUACCAAGGAUACCAGUUGGUAAUAGUUGGUAGCUUUAAUGCAUCGAUGGAGUAUCGGGUUGCAGUUACAGGAACAACUGCAUCAGUGUCUCCACUGUAAACCCAUAUCUUCAGACCAGCAGCAAUGAGUUCUUUGUAUAUAGGAAGCAUAGAAAGCGGUGAAUCUUCCCAGUUGUUUCCAACAAUAUCACUGCAUGUCUUCCAUGGGUAAGGGAUCCCAGUUACAUUUGCAUGGAGUGCCUUCUGAACUUCUGGAAGAUUGAAGUAUACAUUAGAAUACCUCUCUGUACAAGGAUCAUACGCUCUGGACAUCCAUGGAUAAUGACCCCUUAAGUUGUGCCUCAGCAAUGCACUAUCAUUGCAUGGCUGAGUGAAAAUGCUAUAUGGAUCAAUGUGCCCCUGCUCCACCUCUGCAAGGUAAAGAGCCUUGAUGCAUUCUGCUGAUGGGUGCAUGGAGGACUCAAAAUUGCAGGCAACACGUAAAGUCUUAUAGGUAGAAUCAGAAAUUAAACCAUGCGUCCACCAAUACUCAAAGGUGCCAAAAUAAUCAUGGUAAUCAUCAGUGACUGCAUUUCCCACCAUAAAUCCCUUGAAGUUUAUUACAGGAUUCUGAAUUCCCUUGUUCUUAGCAUAAACAAUUUGGGACAACUGAGGAACAUAGUGACCUGCAUAGCUUUCUCCAACAAUGUAAAAUUCUCUAUGUUUGUACUGUGGAAACCUUUCGAACCAAUUGACUAAAAAUGCAUAUGAAUCUGCGGCAGUUGUCUGGUCGCCCAUGGUGUACAAAUCUGAUGUCGUAUUUGUAUAUGAAAACCCAACACCAACUGGAGAUUCAAGGAAUAGUAAAUUUGCCAACUUAUUCCAAGCAUAAGGAUUGAAGUAAAGAGUUUGGCCAUCAGGCUUAAUGCGAAACGGUCCAAUUUCCUCAGCUGCUCCAUAAGCAACUGAAGAGCAACCAGGGCCCCCAUUGAGCCACAAAACAAGUGGCCUUGACUCAGCUCCUCGACUUGCUGGGGACUCAAUCAACCAGUAAAACAAUGCCCUUCCAGAUUGUUGGUUCACAGUCACAUAACCUGAAUACUGAUUGAAUUCUACAUUUUUUGGUUGCCCAGGUAAAUAUGUGAUUUUGUCUCUUUCUUGAUCUUCACUAGGAAAGGAUAUACAAGAACAGAGAAAAAGAGAUAACAGGGAAAGAAUAGACAAUAGAGAACGAUCCAUUAAUCAAAUAAGCAAGCUGAAUUGGUAGAUCAAGCAAUCAAAACAAAGAAACAACAGUCCAAAGAGUUUCUUUAUCUCCAAAAAAUCUAUCUAUACUAUACUACCCCUAGAGCACAUGAUCUGGAGAGAGAAAAAGAGAGAUUGUGAUUUGUGAGAGAGGUAGUCAACGCAAGUAUGAUUAGCAAACAAUCACUGAGACCCACUUAUUAUGAGCUCAAAGAAGAGUUGGUGGAUGUAAGUAUACCACUAACACAAACAGAUAUAAUACCAAAUAACAGAAAUCCUCAAAAAUACUACUUGGUCAACAAAGUCCUUAGAAAGAAUGACAGUGAUGGAGAAGGAAUCAACGGGUUAUUCGAUGAAAAGACAAAAUGGAACAUAAAACAAAUCCCACAAACACAAGUCACAGAAUGUUUACGGGUUUUACAAGGAACUUAUCAACAAACUACGAAACAAAGUAUGAAACUAUUCAAACCCAGAUCCCAAAAUAUCUCUGGGUUCCUGUUUACAAUGCACAUAUAAAGAGAUCUUAAAACGAGAGAGAAAAUACGUGCAUAUAUAGGGAAGGCUUGGCAAUUUAUUCACACUCCCAGUGAAUGUGAUUAGUUGAGCAUCAGGUAUGAAUUGCAGCUUGCAUCAUGCAAUGUGUUAACUGUCUUUUAAUGGUUGUG
rnacentral:misc_RNA from 1 species